rnacentral:tRNA from 1 species
GCCUUCGUGGUGUAGUGGUCAGCACGCUCGGCGCGUAUUCGAGAGGUCCGUGGUUCGAAUCCCGGCGAAGGCA